UUACGGCCAUAUCACCUUGAAACACCGGUUGCCAUACGAUCAUCGAAGUUAAGCAAUAUCAAGCCUGACCGGUACAUAGAUGGGUGGCCACUUGAGAAUACCAAAUGCUA